AUCCUUGACAGCAGAAUGUGUGUUCCUGAGGAGUUCAGAUAUUAACUUUAAAACCUUUAUAUGCUGACUUGCAUUGAAGAUACAGCUUUCUGCUGUGACAUAGUUGUUAUUCAUAGUUGCUGUGCAUGAAUUAGAUAAUGUAGUUGCAUGCUUAAUCUGUUUUGGAGUGCCAAAGUUGAUCUGAGAUGAUUGAUGGAUAAAUAUCUUGACUUAUAUAUUACAAUGACUGGAUUUUGCUGUUUGGAAAUUCUUUGGUUGUUCACCCCAAAAUGAAAACUAGCUGAUUUCAGUUAGUAAGUGCCAGUGCAUACAUUACCCUUUUCUUUCUUCAAAAAGAGAAGUAUUUUGUAGUUAAGGAACAAUCAAGUCAAUUUAUGGUCACAUAGAUAUAUGUGCUGAUCUUCUUACCAUUCUGAAAUAGAUAGGAUGAUAUGACAACUAUGAGUUUUACUGAUAACUAAAGGCUGGGGAGGAAAUUUCUGUAAUUGAUUUGAUUCACAAACUUGUUGAGAUUGCUUCUUUGUAAUUCUGUAAUCUUAUUACCAUUCUGGAAUAGAAAGGAUCAUAUUGUACUUGGGCAUUUGGCGGUUGUUUGCAGUGUAUUGGUACACAGCGGUGGGGUGCAUGGUGGACAUUACUAGGCCUUUAUCAGGCCGAUGCUUUCCAAUCAUUGUAUGGAAAAGUUGUGCAAGCUCUAAGAAGAGGCGACCUCCGACUUCUUCGGCAUGCUUUUCAAGAGCAUGAAGACAGGUUCUUUAGGUUUGCUGUAUAUCUUGUCCUAGAGAAGCUAGAACUUCAGGUCUAUCAGAGAUUGUUGAAAAAAAGAUUUAUAUUAUCCAAAAGCAGAAGGACCCAAGAAAAGCUCACCAGCUGAAGUUGGAAGUAAUUGUCAAAGCAUUGAAAUGGUCAUUGAUGUGGAUGAGG